CGCGCUGAGGGUAGCAGAAGUCAAGACGGCAGUCAGGAGGUGCUGUUCCCCGCAACCUCGGCUCCAGCGCUCGGGGCCGCUUCUCUCCCGGGUGCAGUCGGCUCUGCGCCGGGACCCUCAGCACGCCGUCCUCUGACGAGGCUCCCUCGGCCACAGUCCCCUCCCCUCCAUCAGACGCGCUGCGGGUGCGAAAGUCCAGACACAACUGAAAUUAGCAUCCAGGCUCCACAUGCCACCCGUCCUCACGCAGAGAUUUGCACAGAAACAAGCGCCAUUCCUGACCUUGGGGACGUCGCCGAGUCCGUCGGCAGGCAGGGCAGGGAGGUGCUGAGAAUUAUUCGAGUGCACGUGUCAGCACCCGGAGAGCCGGCCGAGGCCCUUGACCCCCUCCGCUCUGGGCCAGCCUCAACCAGCGGGGCCGAGGGGAGGACAGGCUCCCCCCAGGGAGGUGGGGCGCACACUCACCUCGUUCCUCCCGCUGGAGCCGGCCCUGUCCCUGUGCCUGCAUCGCAACAGAAGUACCCUCUGUGCUCGGGACCCAGGCAGAUGUGACCUCCCCUCACCCCACAACCACCAGAGACAGCCCAGGGCAGACCCUGCCCAGCUCC